GCCGAUGAAGCCCCUCGCUGCCCACACCUUGCUGCUACGGCCAAUCUCCUCCCCCUGUCCCCUGCGCGCGCACGAUGCCGUACCGCCGCCGCUGCCGUCUCGGCGUGCUGGAGAGGUCUCUCUAACGCCCGUCGCCGGAGUUCUUUGCCGCUGUGCACGUUCCAUCCUCGCCGGCGUCCGGCGAGCCUCCGUGUCUAGGUGAGAAAUCUUCCCCUCCAAUUCUCCCUCCGAUAGCCGUGCUCUUCUUCCUUCUCACCCGCGUAGCCCCUCUCCCCUUCCCUUGGCACACCAUCGCGGCAGCCUCGGUUAGCUACGCCGCCAUGGUCGUGCAGCCGCGCGCCCCAGUCGCAGCCUGCCUUCAUCACCGCUGGUGCUCGGCCGCCGUCGGCGAGCCCGGCCACCGGUGCCGCAGCCCUACGCGAUCUGCCCCUUCGCUGGCAACCUCCCUGGCCUAGAUGCUUGGCGCGUCCAUCUCUCCAGGAAGAAAAAGCCCAGCCGAAGACCAUGCGAGCCGUCUUCAGAAAAACGGAAAGAGAAAAAGGAACCGCUUGGCUCCCUCGUAUGUGCAUGGCUGCAUGCAGGAAAUUAAACGCUCUCCACUCCCACACCAAAUCCCACUCUUGAUUUUAUGUGGCAUCUCCGCAUGUGGCGCUUUGUGUGGCUUCAGUUCGACCAACCAGAUCGUGCCAUGUCACCUAUAAUCCGCGAAAUGUUAUUUAUUCAGUAUAUGAUGCGUUAUAAAUACGUUUUGGACCAUUCUAGUUACGCUAAUUCCAUAACAACGUCGUCUGCGUAUUAAAAUAUUAUUUUGUCAUAUCACAUAUUCUAAUUAGUUAUUUAAUCUCUUGUCUAUUUGAUGAUUAUUAAAGUAGAGUUGAAAUUAAAAUUAAUCUAUACUCUCACUUUGCGAUUUUAAAAUACAUGUUAAUAUUAUUAUAGCAAUUUAAAUGUUUUUGAAUAAGUACUUACUUAGUAUAGACGCGAUUUCUGCAAUGCUCGCGUGUCGCGUGUGUCCACACGACGUUCGUGCGUGCUGUCCACGAGCCGUCGUUCGCGCGAGUCGCGAUUCACGCGCUUUAAUAAAAUUGUUUAUUAGAUAUGAAUUGUUAGCUUUUUCAUAUAUAAUGCGCCAUAAACCCGUUUCUGUUCGUUUCAGUCGCUUUAACUUUGUAAACCUCGUCGCCAUCCUGUUAGUAACAUUAUUUCGUCGCGAGGCGUGUUCUAAUUAAUUAGUUGAUUAUUUAUUUAUCUGAGUUAUUAAAGUAGUAGCUUACUUAAACUAAUUUAUAGUUUUAGACACGCUUUAUUUAUAUCUGUUAAUAGGAUUAUAUCUACACAAAUGUUUUUAAAUUAAUGCUUAUUUAGUAUAAAACACGAUAUCUGAUAGCGAUUCUCGGGUGUUGCCGCGCGCUGAAUCAUGUGCCUUCCGCGCGUCACACUGUUUUGCGUGUAGUUCGUGCGAUGUUGCGUGUGCUUUUUCACACGCGUCAUCUGGGCGCUAAGUCGCAUUUGUCGCGCGUUGUCACACAUCAUUUGCGUGUGUCGCGCACGCUGUUUUCGCGUGUCGCGCACAAUGCUAUGUGUCGUUCGCAUGUAUCGCACGCCGUCCGCGCAUAUUAGUUAAUUGUUUCAUUAUAAUCGUUCACUUAUAAUCGCUCUGGUUAGGUAAUUAAUUAUUAGUUUAAUCGUCCACCAUUAAAACAGUAAUUUAGUGAAAACUGAAUUGUAGUUGUUAAUUUACAUUUGAUAAAUGUCAAUCAAUAUAAUUAUGUCGAACUAAUGUUCUAACAAUACUUGUUUAGUGUAAUCGCGUUAUUUGUUAGCGAUCAUCGCGCGUCGUCGCACUGUCUGCGCGCUAUUCGCGCGUGAUGUGCUCGUGGUGGCAUGCUGAUUCGCGCGUCAUUUGCGCCGGUCGCGCGCGAUGUUUCGUGUGUUGUCAGUGUGCUAUGUCGCGCGCGUCCGCGCAUCGUUUGCACGCUGUCGUGUUGGAUUCCCCUACGUCAUGUUGUCUGUGCGUGCCGCGCGUGGUGCGCGCUAGAUCGUGUGCGGUCGUACUGUUUCACGCGUCGUAAAUUCGACUCGCUUAGAAUCUCCCGUUUAAUUAAAAUUACUUAAUUAACUGACAUUUGUUAGUGUAGCAGAUUAAUCGAACUAAACGGUAUAUAAUAUUUAUAUUUGAUAAGGUCGAACUAAAAGCUAUAGUUAAUACUUGUUUAGUGAUAACGCGCUAAUCUCUCAACCGUAGCUUCGAGUUCGACAUUUCUUUUUCUCGCGUGACCGUAGUGUCGAGCUCUAUUUUAUGUUGCAUGUUUUUAUAACAUUUUAUCUUGUAUGGUGUAAUGUUCUUAUGCGUAUAUAUAUGUUUGUUUGUUUGUUCUUGUUUGUAUUCGCUAUGCGUCGCGAAUAGAUCGCGAUUCGUUUCCGAGCUUCGAGGAAUUGACGGUCAAACAUUGGUGACCAAGUGAGCAAGCUCUUCAAGUCCUACAAGAUUGAAGACCCUGAGCAUAUAUUUGGUGAAGGCAAGUGUCCUCUGACCCAUUAUGUCCCAUUUACUUUAUAAUACAGUCCCGCAUACUAUGAACAACCUAAGGAUUUACUAGCUUUCUAUUUACCUUGUCCUUGAUUUACCUUUUGGGUUACUAUGGUUAGCUUCAUGCUAGCGCUUUACUUUAAUCAAUGAACAUGAUGAGAUACAAUGAUGAUACUAUGAUUUUACUCUGGAUAUGAUGAUAUACUUGUGGCAUUUAGGGGACUCGAGCGGUUUCUCGAGUGCCUCUCCGUAAGGACCUGUUCGUUGAGAGACCACCCGGGAUAACAGUGCAACCAUGAGGGUGAAAUGGGGUGCCCUUAGCUAAUUAAUUAGAGGAACUAGAGGUGUAGUUGCUUCGCCGUCGUGCCGUCAAUGGGGUCCAGGCACAGUGCUUGCUCUGCCGAGGCUGGGUGCCGAGGUUCUUUCGUUUUGCUUUUGUUAGUCACCCUCCUGCGGGGAGAGGUACUGUGUUUAUCAAACUGGAGAAACCUAACGGGCGGCUAUGACCUCUAGGGAAUCUUUGUAAAGGCUACGUAGUGAUACCCUGCCGGACCACCUAGGAAGUGAUCAAUGGGGAGUCAUGAUCCCCGGGCAAAAUGGGAAUCACGGCUCAUGGGUAAAGUGUGCGACCUCUGCAGAGGGAAGGAAACUGAUAUAUCAGCCGUGCUCACGGUUAUGAGCGGCCUUGGGAUCCUCUUUGAUUAGAGAUACUUGAUCAGAGAUGGUUGGUUUACAGAUGACAAGGAUGAUGGUUAUGACUAUGGUAAUGGUAAGUGGUAUUCUUUCCGUUUGGAAAGGGUACUUUGGGUUAAUAACUUGGGUUAAUGUUAAAACCUGGCUCUCAAUGAGUAAUAAUAACCUGACCAACUAAAAGCAACUGCUUGACCUUAACCCCAAAUAAAGCUAGUCCACUACAGCCAAACGGGACAUUUGCUGAGUACGUUGAUGUGUACUCACCCUUGCUUUCACAAAACACCAGGUUGCCUUUGGUGCAAUCUAUGCUCAGGUAAAGAAGAAGGCGUCGAGGUGAAUCUCCAGGAGUUCCAGGACUUCGGCGAGUUCGAGGAUUAGGCUAGCGAUCUCCCCCAGUCAGCUGUCUGUGGUGGGUUUAUUUACGUUGGCUACGUUUCUGUUAUGUGUACUUUGAUUAUAUUAUGUAAAUGACUCUAGUCUUUCAUAUUAUUACUUAUCUUUAUUGUUAUUCGAAGCAUUGUGCUAUGAUGAGUCAUUUAUGUAAUCGCUAUGUACGUGAAUUUCUGAUCCUGGCACGUACAUGGUUCGCAUUCGGUUUACCUUCAAAACCGGGUGUGACAGUUGCCGGCAUGACGUUUCACGUCUGGCACCUCCUUAGAGAGGCUUUCCAGGUCGGCGAUGAGGGCCUCGGACUCGGCGAGGGCCUCGGCGUACUCCACCCACUCCACGUCGCAUUCGAACGCGUGUUUGUACGUGGGGCCGACGGUGAUGACCCCGUUGGGGCCCGGCAUCUUGAGCUUUAGGUAGGUGUAGUUGGGGACGGCCAUGAACUUCUCGUAGCAUGGCCUUCCCAGUACCGCGUGGUAGGUUCCUCGGAACCCGACCACCUCGAACGUCAGGGUCUCCCUUUGGAAGUUGGAGGGUGUUCCGAAACAGACGGGAAGGUCGAGUUGUCCGAGGGGCUGGACGCGCUUCCCGGGAAUGAUCCCAUGGAAGGGCGCAGCGCCUGCUCGGACGGAGGACAGAUCGACACGGAGGAGCCUGAGGGUCUCGACGUAGAUGAUGUUGAGGCUGCUGCCUCCAUCCAUAAGGACCUUGGUGAGCCUGACGUCGCCGAUGACGGGGUCGACGACGAGCGGGUAUUUCCCCGGGCUCGGCACGUGGUCGGGGUGGUCGGCUUGGUCGAAGGUGAUGGGCUUGUCGGACCAGUCCAGGUAGACUGGCGCCGCCACCUUCACCGAGCAGACCUCCCGGCGCUCUUGUUUGCCGUGCCGAGCCGAGGCAUUCGCCGCUUGCCCAUCGUAGAUCAUGAAGCAGUCGCGGACCUCGGGGAACUCUCCUGCUUGGUGAUCUUCCUUCUUGUCGUCGUCGCGGGCCCUGCCACCCUCCGCGGGUGGCCCGGCCCUGUGGAAGUGGCGCCGAAGCAUGACACACUCCUCAAGGGUGUGCUUGACGGGCCCCUGGUGAUAGGGGCACGGCUCCUUGAGCAUCUUGUCGAAGAGGUUGGCACCUCCGGGGGGUUUCCGAGGGUUCUUGUACUCGGCGGCGGCGACAAUGUCCGUGUCGGCGGCGUCGUGUUUCGCUUGCGACUUCUUCUUGCCUUUCUUCUUGGCGCCGCGCUGAGUCGACGCCUCGGGAGCAUCUUCCGAUGGGCGGCCCUGGGGCUGCUUGUCCUUUCGGAAGAUGGCCUCGACCGCUUCCUGGCCGGAGGCGAACUUGGUGGCGAUGUCCAUCAGCUCGCUCGGCCUGGUGGGGGUCUUGUGACCCAACUUGCUCACCAGGUCGCGGCAGGUGGUGCCGGCGAGGAACGCGUCGAUGACAUCCGAGUCGGUGAUGUUGGGCAGCUCGGUGCGCUGCUUCGAGAAUCACCGGAUGUAGUCCUGGAGAGACUCUCCCGGCUGCUGCCGGCAGCUUCGGAGGUCCCAGGAAUUCCCGGGGCGCACGUACGUGCCCUGGAAAUUGCCGGCGAAAGCUUGAACUAGGUCGUCCCAGUUGGAGAUCUGCCCUGGAGGCAGGUGCUCCAACCAGGCGCGAGUGGUGUCGGAGAGGAACAGGGGGAGGUUGCGGAUGAUGAGGUUGUCAUCGUCCGUUCCACCCAGUUGGCAGGCCAGACGGUAGUCCGCGAGCCACAGUUCCGGUCUCGUCUCCCCCGAGUACUUUGUGAUAGUAGUCGGGGGUCGGAACCGGGUUGGGAACGGUGCCCGUCGGAUGGCCCGGCUGAAGGCCUGCGGACCGGGUGGUUCGGGCGAGGGACUCCGAUCCUCCCCGCUGUCGUAGCGUCCCCCAUGCCUGGGGUGGUAGCCUCGGCGCACCCUCUCGUCGAGGUGGGCCCGACGGUCGCGGUGAUGGUGCUUGUUGCCGAGGCGGCCCGGGGCCGCAGGCGCGGUGUUGCGCGUGCGCCCGGUGUAGACCGAGGCUUCUCGCAUGAAUCGGGAAGUCGCGGCAUGAGGUUCCGAGGGGUACCCCUGCCUUCGGGAGGCAGAGCUCUCGGCCCGUCGGACUGCGGCGCCUUCCAGGAGAUUCUUGAGCUCCCCCUGGAUGCACCGGCCCUCGGUGGUUGAUGGCUCCGGCAUCGCGCGGAGAAGCAUCGCUGCUGCAGCCAGGUUCUGGCCGACCCCACUAGAUGCGGGUGGUGGCCUGACCCUGACGUCGUCGGCGACACGGUGCUGGAAACCCUGAGGCAGAUGACGUAUUUCUCCGGCCGGGGGUUGGCCCGCCCAUGCCUGCCCGACGUCCCGGCGGAUCGGCUCAAGCGCUCCUGCUCCCUCGUCGAGCCUGGCCUGCACACCGCGGAUUUGCUCGAGCUUUGGGUCAUGGCCCCCCGCCUGAACGGAGACCACAGCUAGCUCCCGUGGGAUGUCAACGCGGGGCACCGGCCUAGGGAGAUCACCGUCCUCCGGCAUGCCGAGAUGAUUGCCUUCGGAGGGACCCCCUAGAUCGACGUGGAAACAUUCGCGGCUUGGGCCGCAUUCCUCGUCGCCGAGGCUGCGGCUACCGUCGGAACAGUCGGAGAGGCAGUAGUCACACGUGGUCAUGAAGUCCUGCAUGGCACCGGGGUUGCCAAGUCCAGAGAAAUCCCAACAGAUGCUGGGCUCGUCGUCUUCCUAGGACCCAGAGGGCCCGUAGGUCGAGACGUCCGUCAGCUGGUCCCAAGGCGACCGCAUGCGAAACCUCAGAGGGUUUGGACUCGCCUCUACGAGAUCGCCCGCCAAGGCAAGGUCGCUAGGCGGGUUGAGGCUGAACCCAGAUGACGUGGGAUGGGAAUCGGUCGGUACCUCUUGGUCGACGAGUGGCGAUAAAGUCACGUCGGGGACUGACUGCACCGUCAUCUCAGGUACGAGGGUGACGUCCAGCAAGCUUUUUGCGAGCGCGCUGGCGUCAUCCGCUUGCUCGGGAUUGACGCGUCGAGGGGAGACAGCGCUCGUCUUCGUCUCAAGCGCGAAGUCGAUACCCGGUGCGCCCCUCGUUGGGGUGCCGGCGCUGUCGACUCGCUCGACAGCCGACGAGGUGCUGCCUCCUGCUUGGCCUUGGUCGCCCUGCCUUCCCCUCCGUCGGCGGGGGAAAGGGCAGGAUGAGCUCGAAGGGUGUUCUUCCACCACGCGGGGAAGACGUCGUCGAUUCCGCCGCCGGCGGGCGGGCUGUCGGCCGCCAUUGUCAUUGUCGCGCGGCGAUGGAAGGAGUAUCAUGUCGUAGCUGCCGUCGAGGGACAUGAACUCAAGACUCCCGAAACGGAGCACCGUCCCGGGUUGGAGAGGUUGCUGGAGACUGCCCAUCUGGAGCUUGACGGGAAGCUGUUCGUCAACACGCAGCAGGACCAUACCUGGCGCGCCAACUGUCGGCGUUUUGAGACCGGGGGGUCCCUGGGCCGACGAGUGAAUGUCGCCGCGUGCCCCAGCCCAGACGGGUCGAGCGCGAGGGCGAGCGCGAAGGGGGGAGAGCGAGGCGGCCGGAGACCGGCGUGAGAGAGGUGGGAAUCCCGCGGCCUUCGUGUUCGUCCCGCGCCCAGGUCGGGUGUGCUUGCAGUAGGGGGUUACAAGCGUCCACGCGGGAGAGGGAGCGAGCGGCUUCAAGCGAGCGCCUGUCCCGUCCUCGUCCCCGCGCGGCCAACCCUCUCUAAGAGGUCCCUGGUCCUUCCUUUUAUAGGCGUAAGGAGAGGAUCCAGGCGUACAAUGGGGGUGUAGCAGAGUGCUACGUGUUUAGCGGAGGAGAGCUAGCGCCCUAAGUACAUGCCGUUGUGGCAGCCGGAGAGAAUUUGGCACCCAGCUGGUGUGAUGUCGUGGCCAUCGGAGGAGCGAUGGAGCCUGGCGGAGGGACAGCUGUCGGAGCGGUUGAGUCCUUGCUGACGUCCUCUUGCUUCCGUAAGGGGGCUGAGAGCCACCGUCGUCACAGAGUACGCGGGGCGCCAUCAUUGCCUAUCUGGCGGAGCUAGCCAGAUGGGACGCCGGUCUUGUUCCCUGCGGCCCGAGUCAGCUCGGGGUAGGGUGAUGAUGGCGCCUCCUGUUGACGUGGCUGGUCUACGCCCUAGGUUGGGCGAUGUGGAAGCUCCUCCGAAGUCGAGGUCGAGUCUGUCUUCCGUGGUCGAGGUCGAGUCCGAGCCCCUGGGUCGGGCGAGGCGGAGUUCGUCGUCUCCUAGGGCUGAGCCCAAGUCCGAGCCCUGGGUCGGGCGGAGCGGAGUUCGACGUCUUCCGGGACUUAGCCCGAGUCCGAGCCCUGGGUCGGGCGGAGUGGAGUUCGCCGUCUUCCGGGGCUGAGCCCGAGUCCGAGCCCUAGGUCGGGCGGAGCGGAGUUCGCCGUCUUUCGGGACUUAGCCCGAGUUCGAGCCCUGGGUCGGGCGAAGCGGAGUUCGCCGUCUUCCGGGACUUAGCCCAAGUCCGAGCCCUGGGUCGGGCGGAGCGGAGUUCGCCGUCUUCCGGGACUUAGCCUGAGUCCGAGCCCUGGGUCGGGCGAAGCGGAGCUUCCUAUGGUGCCUUCGGCAGGGCCUGACUGCCUGUCAGUCUCACUCUGUCAAGUGGCACCGCAGUCGGAGUGGCGCAGGCGGCGCUGUCCUUCUGUCGGGCCGGUCAGUGGGGCGGCGAAGUGACGGCGGUCACUUCGGCUCUGCCAGCCGGGGGGCGCGCGUCAGGAUAAAGGUGUCAGGCCACCUUUGCAUUAAAUGCUCCUGCGAUUUGGUCGGUCGGUGUGGCGAUUUAGUCAGGGUUGCUUCUUAGCGAAGGCAGGGCCUCGGGCGAGCCGGAAAUAUGUUCGCCGCUGGAGGGGGGUCUCGGGCGAGACGGAAAUCCUCCGGGGUCGGCUGCCCUUAUCCGAGGCUAGGCUCGGGCGAGGCGUGAUCGAGUCGCUCGAAUGGACUGAUCCCUGGCUUAAUCGCACCCAUCAGGCCUUUGUAGCUUUAUGCUGAUGGGGGUUACCAGCUGAGAAUUAGGAGCCUUGAGGGUACCCCUAAUUAUGGUCCCCGACAAGUAGGUACUAAUUCUAUGUUGUUCAAGUUGUGCAUAUUAUCAUGUUUUUCAUAUGCAUACAUAUAGACAAUAAUAUGAGUACGUAUAGACUCCAGAACCUGGUAUAUAUCUAAUAAUUCGGCCAACCAAAUACCUAGAUUCUAAUCAGCAAAUUCUCUCCACAGCCAAGUUAUCAAACACCCAGAUUCUUAUCAGUCAACUUCUUUUCACAACUAGCUUCUCUCCAUAGCCAACUUCUCAGAAAAAAGCUCGUUGAAAAAAAGCCUUAAAAUUAUUUGAUACAAUAGGAUAAGGAUUAUUGGAUAUUUUAUAAAGAAAAAUGUUAGCUUUAAAAUAGAUAGUAUGAUUCAACAAUAUGAUAAUGGAUCAAAUAUGAAAGGGUCUAUUUUAGAUAUUGUUUAUCUAUAUAUAUUAUAUGUUAAGGGGCCUAUUUUUGUUUUGCACCAGACCCACUAAAUUUUAGAGACAGUCCCGGACGCUGACUCAUCUAGUAGCUCUGAUAUCGCUCGUCGUGACGGUACAACCCGUCCCGAGGGGUCGACCCUGCCCCUCCAGCGCCCCACCCUUAGAGGAGAUAGGCACAACUUUGAUUUAGUGAGCAAGAAUUUAGUGUUUGUUUCCUUAUUUUGUUCAUAUAUUUUUUAUUUAAACUUCUAUCGUGUAUUGAUAUGAAACUUGAAUUCAAUACAAAAGUAGCUUUUUACAGACUUAUUUGAUUUUGUCAUGCAAUCUUUUUGGCCCCCUAUGAAUUUUGGUUCUGCGUCCACCAUUGUCUACAGACGAUGACGCCCUCGGUGUCGCCAAACUUUGGAGGCGUCGUCAGGGAGCCCCUUCCCCCAAUCCUCUAAGCGUCAUCUUGUAGGGUUCAUGCUACAUUCGUGAAUUUGCCCCGUCAUAUUCUUGCAUGUCUCUUGUGUCAUGUGUGCUUGGCAUUGGCGUCUCGGCCAAGGGCAAAGGUAGGCAAUUAAAAGUGGAUGCACAUGCACCCAUGAAAAUUUAUAAAAUUAGUGAAAUAGAUUAGAUUUUUACCAUAUAUGCAUCACUAUAAGAUAUUACUAUGCACCCUCAAGGCAUUUGCACCCUCUCUGAUUUGCUCUAGUUUUGCGAUAAGUGCCUCCCUUUGGCGCCUCUGUUCCAUCGAUACUCUCCUUGUUAACAGGAGGAGCACGUAAAUCUUAUGAUGGGUUGGUGAAUCCGCCUCUUCUGCUAUUCCCCUACAAGGAUCUCCCAUCGUGAGGUGCUGGAUGGUGGCAAGCGGAACCCGAAUGCGCCUCGUGUGUUUUCUGUUUGCUCGAAGAGAGAUCGUCUUUUUUUAUAUGUUGUGGUUGUUGUACCUCCUAUCUCCUUUAGUCUCCAUUCAUGUUGCAUGGCAGAUGGUCAUAAGACAUCAAGACGUGCGUAGUACGAGGCAAGGUCUAGAUGUGCAAUGGGUUAGAUGUGUCAAUGAGUAUAUAUGUUGGUUUUAGUGAGGUUGCUAGUCGCUGUGCGACAAUCGUCGUUUCGGACGUUGCGUCGUGUUGUGCUUACUUUCUUUGUUUCCUCUAUGUUGUUGAAGUAUGUAAUACCCAAUUCGUAAAAAUAAGAAAGAAGUUGAUCUCAUUAUAUCUUUUGUCCUCUAUUUAUUAGAACAUGUGAACAACCACAUUUAAAGUGAUUAAUUAGCUAAUGACACCUAAGUAAUAUAUGCAUCAUGUUGGAGUUUAUUUGUGUGUGCAUUGGAUAAUAAUAAUAAUAGUAAUAAAAAUAUGAUAAUGAUGAUAUUGGGAUUAGAACCUAAUUUGCAAUUUUGAAUUUAGAGAAAGAAAAGAAAAAAAUACUAUACAAUACAAAGAAAAUACAGAUAUAAAUAAAUAAAACGUUUCAUACAGAUAAUUGAGUUUGUGUAUUUUAUCUGAGUAAGAAUUUGGCAACAAAAUUUGAAAUCAAAAAAUAAAGAUAAAAGAAAACAGAAAAUAAAAAGACCCAAGCCUACGGCUGGGCCAAAAGCACCGGCCGACCCAACUGCCUAACCCUCCGCUACGGCCUAGCUAACCUGACGGGAUAACACGCUUCCACCACCGACACCGACUGGUGGGCCCUGCUUGCCUAGUUCAGUCAUGCACUAUCAGAUGGGCCAGGUCUGUCAGCGCCUCUGUCAUCCGUUGCCCAAGCUCUCUGUCGACCGGGCCCUGCACGUCAUCCACCAGCUACGACCGGGUCUCUGUGUCCGCGUCGCCGGGAGUUGUGGGCGCCGCAGCCAUCGCUCCGUAGCUCCCGCUGGUGUAACCGUCGGGCGUGAUCCUUGCGUAGUUAGCCUCGCCGCAGGAUAAGUGGGCGACCCUUUCCCUCCUUCCUCUCAUCAUAGUCCUCAAAUCACCUCGGAAAGUUGGACACCGCCACUACCACACGGAGCCAUUGUCGCUGCCGCCUGCCUAAUUCGUGACCGAGCGUGCGUGUGCGGCUCUGGAGUCUUCGAGUUGCUCUGGUAGCGUGUCGUUUCCCUAACCGUAGGAAGCGAACAAGCAUGGUCAGUCGAAGCGCAUCAACGGUGCGGGAUUUUGGCCGAGGUCGCGCAUCGCCGGGGGCGGGAGCCUCCUCGCUGCCUUAACCAGGUAAACCUCGUCCCGAUCUGCAAUUAGAAGCCUCGCCUUGUGUAGCACUGAUAAGCACCCGUAAUCGUGACCCUAGAUAGCGGGAAUUCCUCAUCGGCGCUCGACCAUUGUCGCGGUGCCACGGUGUCGCGUGAACCGAGUUGUUGCCACACUAAUCUGGGGUAACCAGUCGUGCCCCUAAUCCGUAUAGGCCUCCGUAAUGAUUUCUAGCAUUAUCGGGGGAAAUUUGGUGUCGGGACGUCGGCGGGCCGCGCGCAAAAGUGGCGCCGCCGUGGGCGCGUGAUUCACCGUCGUCGCCGACAUCGAUUUGGGUAGGAUCGAUUCGGAUCGUUGGAUUGAGAAGGGGCGGUCAGGAUUAGAUCUUCGAAUACCCUUUUGGCUUAAUCGGAUUUGAGCAUUGAUCUGAUGAUAAAUGGCCCUGAUCGCUUGUGUAUUCGCGGUUGAUGCGGACCGCUGAUCUGCGAUCCGAUGAUCCAUAAAGUGUAUCGUUUCGUCGCCCUUGCAAUUUAAUCUGAACCACUCACUUAGGACCGAACAGCCGAGAUCUACUCAAACCCCUUCGGCCAGUGUAUUUUGCAAAAGAAACCUUGUGGUUUCACAGAAUCAACCCGCCAUCCUCGCACUAUUAUAGGAAUUAUAAACCAGGCCCUGAAUCUUUGCGCUGCAACCCCUGUAGUACUUCUAAAUUGUGUGCGCAGUCCAGUAAACCAGUGAAUGAGAUAGAAAAUUAUAGAAAAUGAUUUUUAGUAUUGAAAUAAUUCCAUAAACUUGUUUAAAUCCUAGAAAAAUCAUUUUAACUCCUUUUUAAUCCAUACCAGUCGCAAUAAUUUUGUUUUAAUAUUGUUGAUCACUUGGUAACUCUAUUUUAGCAUGAAACCUACAUUAAAAUUAAUCACUUGGCUACUUUUGUACCACACACAUAAAACCUUCAAAAAAUCAUAACUUCUUAUCCGUAAGUCCGAAUUUAGUGAUUCUCGGACUUAAGAUCUCACUACGAUGUGUAGAAUAUUAUCAUGCAUUAUAUCUCUCUGUUUGGUGUGAUGAAUAUUUUUCCCUUGUACCAUGUUUAUUUCAAUUGUGGCGAGUAGACGAGCAAGCGAUUGAGGAUCUAGGUGUUCAGCAGGUAGAAGUUGCUGAGCAGGAGCUCAUUGAAGGCAAAUUGUGCCUUUGACCAAAUUAUUUACCCAAAAAUGUUCUCUAUAAUCAUUUUGGCAUGCAUAUGCUUAAUUUUGAUGGGACCCAAUAGGUCACUCUAGUUUGGUCAUCUUUACACCUUGUUUACCCCUGAACUUUUGGGUAGACUUCGCUUUUGCUAUAUAUGGUUUUGGGUGUUGAGAUAACUAUUACACAUGGUCAUUCUUUAUUAUUAUGGUUCUAUUCUGUUCAUGAUAAGACUAUUAUGUUAAUUGGAACAUGGAGCUUAACUUGAGAAACACGUGCCACCACAAGGGUGGAAUGGGACGCCCUUGGCUGACUAAUUAUGAAAGCUAGUGGAGGACUACCUUACCCGAAAGGGCAAGGGCAGUAGGGGAGUUGGCGUGUAGGGAGGUUCUCGGGUUGAUUUUGCUGCGAUGGCGGUCAGACGGAGGAUUCCUGCAUUGCGCUCCCUAGAAAAUGUAGCGGGUUUUUUUGAAGCUAGUGGAACUUUAUAAAGGCCUCGUAGUGUUACCUUGCCUCGCUUCCUUGGUAGAGGUGUAUGGGGCCCGUACAACCCUGUGGUCAAUGGGUAAAGGAUACAACCUCUGCAGAGUGUAAAACUGGUAUACUAGUUGUGCUCACGGUCAUGAGCAACUCAGGACUCUCGCAUGAUUAAUUUAUGGAAUUAAAUUCAAUUUGUCAUUUGCAUCUCAUUGUGGUUUAUUAUUAAUUUUGAUCUAUUAUUACUCUGAUUUGGUAUCUACUUACAUUUAGUAACUGCUAAUAAAACUUGACCAACUUAUUAAAAGCAAUGCUCAGCUUUAACCCUUAUUUGUUGAUCAGCCUUACACCUCACAUGAACUCCCACCAUUGGCGAGUUCAUGCACAUUAUUCCCCACAACUUGUUGAGCUAUGAUCUUUUGUGAGCUCACCCUUGUGAUAUAUAACCCCCCACAGGAGAAGAACAGGUGGUCCAGGAGGAGCCUUACAACGAGAAGUACGAGCUUAUCUAGGUGGCGUCUCUCAGUCAGCUUUACGGCACCAAAGAUUAAUGUUUAGUUCGCUUUAUUGUUAUCAUUUAUUUUUGUAAGACUUCCGCUAUGUAAUAAUGAUAUUUGUGAUAUUUAUCUCUAU
rnacentral:lncRNA from 1 species